rnacentral:rRNA from 1 species
ACAUGCAAGUCGAGCGAACAGACGAGGAGCUUGCUCCUCUGACGUUAGCGGCGGACGGGUGAGUAACACGUGGGUAACCUACCUAUAAGACUGGAAUAACUCCGGGAAACCGGGGCUAAUGCCGGAUAAUAUGCGGAACCGCAUGGUUCCGCAAUGAAAGACGGUUUUGCUGUCACUUAUAGAUGGACCCGCGCCGUAUUAGCUAGUUGGUAAGGUAACGGCUUACCAAGGCAACGAUACGUAGCCGACCUGAGAGGGUGAUCGGCCACACUGGAACUGAGACACGGUCCAGACUCCUACGGGAGGCAGCAGUAGGGAAUCUUCCGCAAUGGGCGAAAGCCUGACGGAGCAACGCCGCGUGAGUGAUGAAGGUCUUCGGAUCGUAAAACUCUGUUAUUAGGGAAGAACAAGUGCGUAGGUAACUAUGCGCACCUUGACGGUACCUAAUCAGAAAGCCACGGCUAACUACGUGCCAGCAGCCGCGGUAAUACGUAGGUGGCAAGCGUUAUCCGGAAUUAUUGGGCGUAAAGCGCGCGUAGGCGGUUUUUUAAGUCUGAUGUGAAAGCCCACGGCUCAACCGUGGAGGGUCAUUGGAAACUGGAAAACUUGAGUGCAGAAGAGGAAAGUGGAAUUCCAUGUGUAGCGGUGAAAUGCGCAGAGAUAUGGAGGAACACCAGUGGCGAAGGCGACUUUCUGG